rnacentral:rRNA from 1 species
UACGUAGGGUGCGAGCGUUGUCCGGAAUUAUUGGGCGUAAAGAGCUUGUAGGCGGUCUGUCGCGUCUGCUGUGAAAUUUCGGGGCUCAACCCCGAACUUGCAGUGGGUACGGGCAGACUAGAGUGUGGUAGGGGAGACUGGAAUUCCUGGUGUAGCGGUGAAAUGCGCAGAUAUCAGGAGGAACACCGAUGGCGAAGGCAGGUCUCUGGGCCAUAACUGACGCUGAGAAGCGAGAGCAUGGGGAGCGAACAGG